UACGUAGGGGGCUAGCGUUGUCCGGAAUCAUUGGGCGUAAAGCGCGUGUAGGCGGUCCGGUAAGUCCGCUGUGAAAGUCGGGGGCUCAACCCUCGGAUGCCGGUGGAUACUGUCGGGCUUGAGUACGGAAGAGGCGAGUGGAAUUCCUGGUGUAGCGGUGGAAUGCGCAGAUAUCAGGAGGAACACCGGCGGUGUAGACGGCUUGCUAGACCAUAACUGACGCUGAGGCACGAAAGCGUGGGUAGCAAACAGG
rnacentral:rRNA from 1 species